rnacentral:rRNA from 1 species
AUACGGAGGGUGCAAGCGUUACUCGGAAUCACUGGGCGUAAAGCGCGCGCAGGCGGGCUGAUAAGUUGGAUGUGAAAGCCUACGGCUCAACCGUAGAACUGCAUCCAAAACUGUCAGUCUAGAGUCUGGGAGGGGAAGAUGGAAUUGGUUGUGUAGGGGUAAAAUCCGUAGAGAUAACUAGGAAUACCAAAAGCGAAGGCGAUCUUCUGGAACAGUACUGACGCUGAGGCGCGAAAGCGUGGGGAGCAAACAGGAUUAGAAACCCUAGUAGUCC